rnacentral:lncRNA from 1 species
GGUAUUGUCCCUACCACUGAGAGAUCCAAUUUGGAUAAUGGAUAAUCCAAAUUAUCCAUUUUGUGGCAGAAGAAGCUGAGACAGAUGAUAAGUCCAAGAUGUCACGUCUCAUCAAUGCCAGAGUUUCAAUGAAAACAAGUUUGCUCAUUUCCAACAAUUACACUUUGGGGUCCCUUUCUCUUUAAAAUGUGAUUUCGAGUGAUUGAAGCUUAUGGAAUGAUGAAUGCCUAGGUGGUUGGGAAAUGUGGUAUAGUGAAAUGAGUCCCUGGAUUUCAGCUUCAACCACAUCUGUGGCAUCACCCGCAUGAACAUGGAUUUAAUUUCUUUUUCUUACUUAAAGAGAUUGUUAAAAAUCUUGUUGCACUGUAAAAAUAUAUCUCCCAGGGAUUUCAUAAAUGAACCUAGCUAGCUAAUUUUACACUCUUCAAAAGUGUGAAAGGAUUCGUAAGAGAAAUAAAUAAUAGAAGGGAGUGUAUGUGGGGGAGAGAGUCAAUCCACUUUGGUCGGCUACUCAUUAUAAGAAAAAUGUUCAGUAAUUAUAAAACUUGAAUAUGCAAUGACUAGGUGUCACAGGUCUUGCAGCUGUUCACAGGCCCUUUUCAGAGGUAAAUAUAGCACCAUAUAUCUCCACACACAAAAAGGCUUGUCACCUGCCAUUGGAAAUGAUGAACAUAAUACGCCCUGCUGCGUAUUGAGGAACAAAGGACCUGCUGCUCCUUCCAGUGUGGUGUCAGGAAAUGUCUCAGUGGAAGUUGUAUAACAUGACUCCUCUAAAAUCUCUUUUAGGUUUGGUUUCUACUCCCGUGCUCUCGAAAUGUCAGCCAACACUGCAAAUGGCAGUCACCUAUUCUGGUCACCACCUGCUGCUUCGGUGCAGAGAUGGCUUGCUUGACUAAAGAACCAAUUCUUAUGCUUGGACUAAGGAAUGUAAAUGGCCAGGGAUCAUUUUAAAGGAAAGUGGCUACUUCUGCAUAAAUAAUAAAGAUGUGCUAGUGGAAGGGGUUGUGACCAUUGGAGAUUUAUUUGUCUAUUUCAGUGCAUGAUACCAUUAGCUUUGAAUUUCCUUUCUGAAUUUCUACCAUGGCUAGAUUCUGUAGCUAGCAAAGAAGACAAAAAGGAAAAAUAUAUGUCAGAUGUGUUUAAUCUGGCUGCCAAAUGCAGGUAUCACAUUCUAUUUAAACAUAGGUUAUUUCUGCUUGUUGAAGCAAAUUUAUUAAUCUUGCUUUUUUUUUUUUCCGAAAUGAACUGGCAUCGUUGCUUGUAUUUUUCAGGAAACCUCUGUGGUAGCUUGUCUUUAGAGCAUGCUCAUAUUAUUCCCACAAUGAUAGGUGAGGCCUGUUCCUCCAGGCCCUGAAUCUAAGCUAGCUUGUUGACCAAGAUAGUGGGACAUCUUGUUGUGCUGUCAAAUUGUUUGUAACACAACUGAUAAAUGUUUUGGGGGAUGGAUACCCCAUUCUCCGUGAUGUGCUUAUUUCACAUUGCUUGCCUGUAUCAAAACAUCCCUUGUGUCCCAUAAAUAUAUACACCUACCAUGUACCCACAAAAAUUAAAAAUUUAAGAAAAUGGGAGAAUGCGGCAGAAAUUACACUGGGCUGACUGUGGACCCAGUCUCCAAGAUGAUUGGCCACUUCUACUUUCUUUUUCAUGGAAAGUUCACCACAGGCGAAUGCCAUGGAAGGAUCCCAACUGUACCAGCACAGUCAUGCCUUGAGGAAGUUCAAACUAGCCACAUAGACAGAUUAUGGGGAAGCAGCUCAUCCCCUGCGGUUCUAGCCAUCUCUGCCAAGGUGCCAAAUAUGUGAGUGAAGAAACUAUCUGGUGAAAAUUGUAUGUGUGUUUAUAUGUAUAUGUACAAAUGUACAUCAAAUGACUUUAUGUGUGAACUUGACAAGGCCACAGCAUCCGGAUAUUUGGUCAAACAUUAUUCUAGAUGCUCCUUUGAAUAUACUUCUUAGACACACUUAACAUUUAGAUCAGUAGACGACUGAGUAAAGCAGAUUACCCUCUAUAAUAUGGUGGGCCUCAUCCAAUCAGCUGAAGGCCCUAAUAAUAAUAAUAAUAAUAAUAAUAAUAAUAAUAAUAAAACUGACCUCUCCAGAGGGGGAAAGAAUUCUACCAGCCUACCAGCAAAUGGCCUUUAGACUUGAAGGAAAACCGUUUUCUGGGUUUCCAGCCUGCCAACUUGUUCUGCAGAUUUUGGACUUGCUAGCGUCCACUAUCAUAUGAUCCGAUUCCUUAAUCUCUCUCUCUCUCUCUCUCUCUCUCUCUCUCUCUCUCAGAAAUCAACCCCCGCCCCCAACACACACACACACACACACACACACACACACACACACACGAUCAUCCUUUGGUAUCCGUGGGACGGGACUUCAGCAUCUCUUGCGAUUACCAAAAUCUGCAGAUAAUCAAGUCCCUGACAGUUGGCCCUUCUUAUCCAAGAGUUCCUCAUGCAAGAAUUCAAGCAACCUUGGAUCAAACAUGCCCACGGUGGGUUGAAUCCACAGGUGCAGAACCUACCAACAUGGAGGGCAGACUGUAUACAUACACACAUUCCAUUGGCCCUGUUUCUCUGAAGAGCCCUGGCAACUACAGAUUUAAGCACCUUGUAAGUCUCUGGAAAUUAUCCAAAGGGGCAUACAACAAGUGAAGAAACAUUUAUUCUAGAACGUCACUAAAUGGUUGUAGGUAACAGCAAGAACCUCUGGCAAUUUAUCCACAACCUCCUUUCUUUUUCCCUCCCCCCAAGCAGAGUUGACAGGAAGCUGUGUUCCAGACACAUGUAGCCAAAAACACAGGGCUCCAUCUUACCCCGGCUCCCACGCUCCAGCUAUAAAAUCUCUGCAGGAGGGCAGGACAAUUUAUACCUCUGGACGUUGCUGAAAACAAUGGGACAUCAUUCUACAAUUAGUGUAAGCUAACAGCGAGGUGUAAUACCAAUGGAGGCAUAAGGAUUAACACAGAGAUGAGAGAAAGAGCCUUGCUCUAAUCAUUGUCAUCUGAGGAUGAAAAUGUCCGAGGCUGCACCAUCUGAUGAACAAUGACAUUGGCUGCACACUGCAGAGAAUACACAUCACUCAAAGAGUCUUGCCAAGGCACUAAACAAAUAAAGAAGCAAACAACAACAAACUAGAGGAAGGGGAAUGGAAAUUAGUAACCAGAAUUGCUACAAUAUAUUAUUGAAAGUGUCCAGUUUUUUUUAAAUUGUGGUUUACACACAUCUACACACACACACACGCACACACACAUAGACACACACACACAGGAAUAAAGAAAUGUAUGACUCACAUAGGAAAUAAAAGUAGGCAACAGGAACUGCCUUUGAGAGUGCCCAGAUGUCAGGCAUGGCAAACAGAAACUUUAAAUCAGC